UGGGUGAGAAAGGAUUUAUUGUAGCUCCAGAAGGAUGGAGGCUGAGUGGAGGGGCGUGUGCCCGGUGCUCCCGCUGCAUCCCGGCAACCAUCAUCCACGUCCCCGAGCACCUUUUAAAUACUCUAAAGCAGCAGAAGCCCUUCGCCAACACCCCCAAGGGGUAUUUUUCCAGCUGCUGGGGUUUGACUUCAGCAGUGUCACAGGAGCUGAGGCUUGGGACACGUGUCCACCCUUCCCGGGAUGAGCGGGAUGCGGAACAGGGCAGGGAACGCUCAUGGAGACGCCGUGAUGCUGACGUGAACCGGGGGAUCAUCCGCUGCUGUUGGGUCUGGCUCUGGAGGUUACCUGCUGCUGCACCCGGGGCUGACGCGUCUCCCGGUGCUGCUCCAUCCUCCAGGGCUGUUUCAGCAUCCUCCGGUGUGCCCGCGGGCUCCUGGUCACCGGGCCCGGCCCUAGAGGGCACUCACAUGGGAGGGUGUCCCGGUGGCGGGCGAUGCAGCGCACGGCCAGGAGCGACGCCGCGGUGGCCACCAGCAUCCCCACCACCGCUGCCCCCGUCACCGCCGGGUAGGCUUCGAAGGGAGGCUCGGCUGGAAGAGAGCAGAGGGAGAGGGGGGGAAUGUGGCAGGAGCAGCCCGAGGGAUGCGGUAGCCGGAGCCUGUUCACUCUGAAACCUACUGACGGCCGCUCGCGCUUUGCUCCUCAGCUCCACCAGGCUGCCACCAUCGCCCAUCUCCAACCCUGCUCUGCCCCACGGAGCAGCGCCCCAGCCCCCUUCACCUGGCGUCUGCACCUCGGAGGGGUGCCCGGCCGUGCGGUGGUUGACGGCCAGGAUGCGGAAGGCAUAAACCACGGCCGGGUCCAGCCCCCCGAGGCGCCGGUCGCGCGAGUGGGGCUCGAUGUCACCGGCGGCCGUUUCCCAGGGCCCGGCCGCCCGCCGGGGGGGUCUCUUGGUUUGGCGCCGCUGCACCACGAAGCCGGUGAGGUUGCCGGUGCCCUGCGUCCGCCACUCCAGCCGCACCUCGGUGCGCGCCCGCGUGUACCGCAGCCUGCUGAUGGUGACGUUGGGGGGGGCCGGGUACCCUGUGGGGACACAGCGCCCCAUAGAAUGAGGUUGAUCCCCCCCCCUCUAAACCCACCCGCCACAUCCCAGGGCUCACGUUCCACGCGGAGCUGGACGGGGAGGCUGGCGGUGCCCACGGCGUUGGCUGCGGCGCAGCGGUAGGUCCCGCUGUCCCCCGGCCACUCCGCAUCACGGAUGGUGAGGUUGAGCCACGCUUCUCCCCGCUCCAAGUGGUACUUGGCCAACCCCGCUGGCAACUCCUGCUCCUUGGGGUCGUACCAAGCCAUGGUGGCACCCAGGUUGGCGCCGGGGCCGCCUCGCCGGCACGCCAAGCGCGCCUCGCCGCCCUCCAGCACCGCCACCUCGCUCCUCGCCACCUCCAGCUCGGGGGCCUCUGCUCGGUGACAAGACAGGAUGGCACCAGUGGGGCUGUGCCACCGACCCGCGGCACGGGGACACACAGGGACACGGCUCCGGCUUACCCAGGCGCAGGCGGCACUCGGUGCCGGUGGCCUGGAGCGGAUGGGUGGCCGCACAGAUGUAAUCCUGCCCCCCCAGGCUGCUGCUGGUGCUCAGCACCACGACGGUGGCGGAGGGUGCGGGGUCACCCAGCGCCUGCCCAGCGCCAUCCCACCAGCGCAGGGUGACGGGGGGGGUCCCCCCGUCCCACCGGCACCGCAGCAUCACAUACUCGUCCCCCUUGGUGGCCACUGCCGCGCAGGAGGGGCCGCCAGCCGGGAUCCCUGCGGGAAGGAGAGGUGAUGGGAUGGGGACCGUGAUCUGUGCCCCCCCCAAAAGAGACCCCUCCCCAAAGCAUGGGGGGGGGCUGGGCGGUGGGACCCUCAUUGUGGAGCAGGGGGUCCCAGCAUCACGGGGCUCACCGUGGGUUUGUGGGGGCAGAAGGGGGUGUGGGGGGCACUCACACAGGGUGGUCCCGCAGGCAGCCCCCUGCGGCAGCGCGGGGUGGGAGGCCAGGCAGGAGAAGGCGCUGCCGUUCCUGGUGGCCCCCCCUGGCUGGAUUCUGGUGGCCAUGGAAAAAGAGGUCCCCGUCACCCCCCGCUCUUCCUCCUCAUCCUCCUCCUCGGGGCCCACCCAGCGCAGCCGUGCCGGGGGGAACCCCCCCAGCCAGCGGCACCGCAGCGCCACGUCCCGCACGUCACCGGCGGCCAGCGCAGAGCAGCUCGGGCUCCCGGCUGGUGGAUCUGCGGGAGACCAUCGGUGCUGGGGUGGGGAUUGGGGGAGGUCCAAGUCAUAGCCCCCCCAUCCUGCUCCCAAAUCACCCCUUGCACCCACAUCCUCACCAGGGAGCUGCAUUGGUCCAUCUCGCCCCUCUGGGGGUUACUUACAGUAGACGGUGAGGACGAUGGUGGCCUGGGUGCGGGUUUGGAGGUGGAUGUUCUCGGCCAGGCAGGUGUAGGUGCCGGCCUGGGCGCGGGUGAUGGCAGCGAGGAUGUAGGUCUGACCCACAUGGACCUGGGAGCCGUUGUGGAGCCAGACGUAGCGGCUGGGCGGGUUGGAUGGCGCCAGGCAGCUCAGCACCACGUCCUCGCGCUCGCCCGCGGAGAAGCCGCCCUGCUCCGGGCUGAAGGGCUCCACGCUGAUGGCCGGCUCGUCGGGGCCGUCUACGAUGUCCAGGUAGACGGGCUCGCUGCUGCGGUUGUUGACCUCGUUGCGCGCGGUGCACACGUACCACCCGGCGUGGCUGCGGUUGGCGGGCGCCAGGCUCAGCUCCGCGCCGGAGCCCCCCAGUGCCACGGGGGCCCCCCCCCCGCGGCUGCCGGUGCUGCCAGGAGAAGCUGAGCGGCUCCGUCCCCUCGCGCACGGCGCACGUCAAGGCCACCGGCGUCCCCUCCGCCGCCGCCGCCGCCGUCGGCCGCACGAAGGGCUUGGACACGGGCACUGGUACCCGGAGCAGGAUGGUGCUGUAUCCCACGCGGAGCCGGCCGCGCUCCGGGAAGAGCCCCUGGCACAGGAAGCGGCCGCGGGCACCGGCCCGCAGCUCCC
ensembl:lncRNA